UGGGGAAUAUUGCACAAUGGGCGCAAGCCUGAUGCAGCCAUGCCGCGUGUGUGAAGAAGGCCUUCGGGUUGUAAAGCACUUUCAGCGAGGAGGAAGGCGUUAAGGUUAAUAACCUUGGCGAUUGACGUUACUCGCAGAAGAAGCACCGGCUAACUCCGUGCCAGCAGCCGCGGUAAUACGGAGGGUGCAAGCGUUAAUCGGAAUUACUGGGCGUAAAGCGCACGCAGGCGGUUUGUUAAGUCAGAUGUGAAAUCCCCGAGCUUAACUUGGGAACUGCAUUUGAAACUGGCAAGCUAGAGUCUUGUAGAGGGGGGUAGAAUUCCAGGUGUAGCGGUGAAAUGCGUAGAGAUCUGGAGGAAUACCGGUGGCGAAGGCGGCCCCCUGGACAAAGACUGACGCUCAGGUGCGAAAGCGUGGGGCAGCAAACAGGAUUAGAUACCCUGGUAGUCCACGCUGUAAACGAUGUCGAUUUGGAGGUUGUGGGCUUGACCCGUGGCUUCCGGAGCUAACGCGUUAAAUCGACCGCCUGGGGAGUACGGCCGCAAGGUUAAA
rnacentral:rRNA from 1 species